CUCCAUAGAGAGGGCCCGAACCUGGGUAAACAUUGUGUCCCCUGCCUCAUGUUACCAUCGACCUUAGACGCACUGUUUGGGACCCGCUACCCGAGAUCCGCCAAUUUUGACACCGACAGCUGUGUCGUCUGAAUUGUAGUCUGGAGAGGCGUCCUUAGCGACGGACUGGGCCCAAGUCCCCUGGAAUGGGGCGCCUGGGAGGGUGAGAGCCCUGUCAUCCCACGAGGCGCCGUCAACGAGUCGGUUUCUUUGGGAAUGCAGCCCAAAUCGAGCGAUAGAGUCCGUGCAAGGCUAAAUACAUGCGAGAAAUACGGGCGAUAGCAAACAAGUACCGCGAGGGAAAGAUGAAAAUGACUUUGAAAAGAGAGUCAAAGAGUUCUUGAAAUUGCCGGGAGGGAAGCGGAUGGGGGCCGGCGAUGUGCCCCGGCCGUAUGCCGAACGGCUCUUGCUGGUCCGCCGCUCCGCUCGGGGUGUGGACUGUUGUCGGCCGCGCCGGCAGCCAAAGCCCGGGGGCCCUAGGUGCCCCCGGUGGCCGUCGUCAGCACGGCCGGUAGCCGCGCACCGAAAGGCAUAUCCCUAGAGGCACUAUGCUGCAACGGCCUGCGGGCUCCCCAUCUGACCCAUCUUGAAACACGGACCAAGGAGUCUGACAUGCGUGCGAGUCGACGGGUUCUGAAACCUGGGAUGCGCAAGGAAGCUGACGAGCGGGAGGCCCUCACGGGCUGCAACACUGGGCGACCUUGAUCUUCUGUGAAGGGUUCGAGUUGGAGCACGCCUGUCGGGACCCGAAAGAUGGUGAACUAUCCGUGAGCGGGACGAAGCCAGAGGAAACUCUGGUGGAGGCUUGAAGUGAUACUGACGUGCAAAUUGUUCUUCUGACUUGGGUAUAGGGGCGAAAGACUAAUCGAACCAUCUAGUAGCUGGUUCCCUCCGAAGUUUUGCUCAGGAUAGCAUGAGCCCAUUAUGAGUUCUAUCAGGUAGAGCCAAUGAUUAGAGGCAUUGGGGACGCAACAUCGUCGGCCUAUUCCCAAACUUUAAAUAGGAAGGAUGGAGCGUCUGCUUCGAUGAGCCAUGCCACGGAAUCGGGUGCUCCAAGUGGGCCAUUUUUGGUAAGCAGAACUGGCGAUGCGGGAUGAACUGGAAGACGAGUUACGAUGCCCAACUGCAUGCUAACCUAGAACCCACAAAGGGUGUUGGUCGAUUAAGACAGCAGGACGGUGGUCAUGGAAGUCGAAAUCCGCUAAGGAGUGUGUAACAACUCGCCUGCCGAAUCAACUAUCUCUGAAAAUGGAUGGCGCUGAAGUGCGCGACCCACACCCGGCCAACUGGGCGAGCGCCAUGCUUUGAUUAGUAGGAGGGCGCGGCGGCCGCUGCAAAACCCGGGGUGAGAGCCCGGGUGGAGCGGCCGUCAGUGUACAUCUUGGUGGUACUAGCAAAUAUUGAAAUGAGAACUUUGAAGGCCAAAUAGGAGAAAUGUUCCAUGUGAAUGGCACUUCACAUGGGUAAGCCGAUCCUAAGGCAUGGGGUAACCCCGGCAGAUAGCACGAUCACGCGCAUCCGCUGAAUGGGAACCAGGUUAAGAUUUCCCGAGCCGGGAUGUGGCGGUUGACGGCGACGUUUGGAAGUCCGGAGAUGCCGGCGGGGCCCUCGAGAAGAGUUAUCUUUUCUGCUUAACGGCCUGCCAACCCUGGAAACGGUUCAGACGGAGUUAGGGCCGAGUGGCUGGAAGAGCACCGCACGUCACGCGGUGUCUGGUGCGCCCCCGAUGGCCCAUGAAAACCCGGAGGACCGAGUACCAUUCACGCCCGGUCGUACUCAUAACCGCAUCAGGUCUCCAAGGUGAAUAGUCUCUGGCCAAUGGAACAAUGUAGGCAAGGGAAGCGGAAAAACAGAUCCGUAACUUCUGGAAAAGGAUUGGCUCUGAGAACUAGGCUCGGGGGUCCAGCCCCGAACCCGUCGGUUGUCUGCGGAUUACUCAAGCUAAUCACGCGGUGACAUCAGGUCACCGUGUGCCGGCCGGGGGAUGGGAAUCGCCCCUUCGGGGACUUUCCCAAAGGAUGAAACAUACGACUCAGAACUGGUAUGGACAAGGGGAAUCCGACUGUUCAAUUAAAAUAAAGCAUUGCGAUCGUCCUCGCAGAUGUUGAGGCAAUGUGAUUUCUGCCCAGUGCUCUGAAUGUCAAAGUGAAGAAAUUCAACCAAGCACGGGUAAACGGCAGGAGUAACUAUGACUCUUAAGGUAGCCAAAUGCAUCAUCAUCUAAUUAGUGACGCGCAUGAAUGGAUUAACGAGAUUCCCACUGUCCCUGUCUACUACCCAGCAAAACCACAACCAAGGGAAUGGGGUUGGUGGAAUCACCAGGGAAAGGAGACCCUGUUGAGCUUGACUCUAAUCCGACUUUGUGAAAUGACUUGAGAGGUGUAAGAUAAGUGGGAGCCCUCACGGGCGCAAGUGAAAUACCACUACUUUUAACGUUAUUUUACUUAUUCGAUGGGUCGAAAGCGGGGCAUGUCCCCUCCUUUUGGUUCCAAGGCCCGGUCUUACCGGGCCGAUCGGGCGGAAGACAUUGUAAGGUGGGGAGUUUGGCUGGAGCAACACAUCUGUUAAAAGAUAACGCAUGUGUCCUAAGAUGAGCUCAAUGAGAACAGAAAUCUCGUGUGGAACAAAAGGGUAAAAGCUUGUUUGAUUCUGAUUUCUAGUACGAAUACGAACCGUGAAAGCGUGGCCUAUCGAUCCUUUAGAUCUUUGGAGUUUGAAGCUAGAGGUGUCAGAAAAGUUACCACAUGGAUAACUGGCUUGUGGCAGCCUAGCAUUCAUAGCAACGUUGCUUUUGAUCCUUCGAUGUCGGCUCUCUUCCUAUCAUUGUGAAGCAGAAUACACCAAGUGUUGGAUUGUUCACCCACCAAUAGUGUCACGCCCAAUAUGCGACCCUAUACUAA
rnacentral:rRNA from 1 species